UAAGGAAUAUUGGUCAAUGGACGCAAGUCUGAACCAGCCAUGCCGCGUGAAGGAUGAAGGUCCUCUGGAUUGUAAACUUCUUUUAUCUGGGACGAAAACGGGAUUUUUAUCUCAAUUGACGGUACCAGAGGAAUAAGCACCGGCUAACUCCGUGCCAGCAGCCGCGGUAAUACGGAGGGUGCGAGCGUUAUCCGGAUUUACUGGGUUUAAAGGGUGCGUAGGUGGGCUUAUAUGUGAGUGGUGAAAUCUCCGAGCUUAACUUGGAAACUGCCGUUGAUACUAUAGGUCUUGAAUUAUCUGGAGGUAAGCGGAAUAUGUCAUGUAGCGGUGAAAUGCUUAGAUAUGACAUAGAACACCAAUUGCGAAGGCAGCUUACUACAUAUAAAUUGACGCUGAGGCACGAAAGCGUGGGG
rnacentral:rRNA from 1 species